rnacentral:rRNA from 1 species
AGUGAACGCUGGCGGUAGGCCUAACACAUGCAAGUCGAACGGCAGCACAGUAAGAGCUUGCUCUUACGGGUGGCGAGUGGCGGACGGGUGAGGAAUACAUCGGAAUCUACUUUUUCGUGGGGGAUAACGUAGUGAAACUUACGCUAAUACCGCAUACGACCUACGGGUGAAAGCAGGGGAUCUUCGUACCUUGCGCGAUUGAAUGAGCCGAUGUCGGAUUAGCUAGUUGGCGGGGUAAAGGCCCACCAAGGCGACGAUCCGUAGCUGGUCUGAGAGGAUGAUCAGCCACACUGGAACUGAGACACGGUCCAGACUCCUACGGGAGGCAGCAGUGGGGAAUAUUGGACAAUGGGCGCAAGCCUGAUCCAGCCAUACCGCGUGGGUGAAGAAGGCCUUCGGGUUGUAAAGCCCUUUUGUUGGGAAAGAAAAGCAGCAGGUUAAUACCCCGCUGUUCUGACGGUACCCAAAGAAUAAGCACCGGCUAACUUCGUG